GCCAGUGCGUAGCGACGAUUCUGGGAGAGGAGGUGCUCGGAGGAAAGGGCGGGGGUUGCUGAUGUAAUGGGGAGAAGUGAUUAAUCCUUCGGUUCGCCGUUUCAGCUUCCCCCCUACCCCAACCUUCACCCGAUUUUUUUGAGCUGAAAAAAAAGUGGAACGAGGGAGCCAAUCUUUGGUCCCACAAACUGCAAGGAAAAGAAAAACCCUCAACAGGAAUUACCUUUAUACCUGAUGCCCCCAACAUAAUCUCUCUCCAAGGGAAACGUGUUUUUAUUGCCUUGCGGCUGAAAAUGUAUUCUCGAUUCUCCCCCUUCUCUCUUUUGUUGUGCAUUUUUUGGAUGUGGUAAAACUGGCAGUUUAUCUGAUUAUCUGGUUUUCAGAACUUUGGGCGAUGUCUCUGAGUGUCAUCAGUUGCUCUCUAGGUUUGACAUAGAUAAUUAAGCAACUACAAAGCGUGAUAAAGCUUUUGAGAGGGAGGAAAAUGUAUUUUGGAAGGAGGGAGAGACGCAAAGAGGCGAGCCUGUGUGUUGAGUCCCAGACUUGGUGUGUGACUACAGGCAAAGUACUUCACCUUUCUAGAUGUCAGCCCCGCCCCCCUCACCUCCCAAGUUUAAAUAAGAACUUAUUUUAGACUACAUGAUCCUGUUUUCAAUUUUUAAGAGUUCUGUGAUUUUGAGAUGAUCUCUCUUUAGUCCAGAAAAAUAGAGAAACGUAGGUCUAUGUUUGUUUCUCAAAAAAAUAUUUGAGGAGGACAGCUGUUACAAAACAGCUGGAGAACUCCAAAUUUUUAUGGUGGUUAGCUAGGUGCAAAUGGGUACAAUUUUAGGUUUGUUCAAAUAAACAUAGGGGAAAAGUAAAAGUACAGGAAAAUUACGUUAUACAUAUAAGUGUGUCCAUCAUUUCUGAUUUUUCUAAAAAUUUACUUUUUUAUUUGACAAGUACUUUUUGGCUCCUUCCGUGUAUGCAUUAAUAUGUAUAUAAGGUGUUAUGGGAAAUACUAAUAAAAGGAAAAUAUUGGGCA
rnacentral:lncRNA from 1 species